UUCCUUUCUAGGGUUCAAUUAAAAAAAUAAACCCAAACGAAGGCGUCCGUGUAACAACAACAACCGAGAGGCGCCAUGAGAAAAAAGUGCGCCGUGACUAUCAACUGACCUUGAACCAACUGCGCCAAGGUUCUGGCAAUAUAUACAACGCGCGUGCAAUUGCUGCAAAAGGUACGAAAAAGGGAACGUCAAACAUCAUCAAUCCCGAGAGAGAAAACAACCAGCCAGUCUCUCUUGCAUAACUCUCACUGGCUUUUCUGGUAUUAGCCUUUUGAAUAUGAGAGUCCACCCCAUGAUCGUUAGACGAGAUAGAUCGUAUACAUUUUGAACGCUGGUCCGUGGCGCCACUCGAGCUGUCCCGAGCCGCUCUGCGCCUUAUUAUUCUCCCGUAUUUAGAAAAUAUCACGCUCGUUCCUCGUAGAAAGAGAGAGAGGAAGGCUGCCAAGAUGCGAUGAAUUUUUCAUCGCGUCGUCUACUACUACUACUACACUACUACACUACUACUGGUUGUGUGUAUCGUCUAAUAAUCUACUGUAGCCAUCUCCCAAGGCCGGAAUCCGGGCGUGAGUGUGUGUGUGUUAUAGUGUGGCCUAUCAACAAUCCAUUUUCGAUGUUCGCUUGUGUACACGUGAAAUGGUUUUCGAGUCAACACUUCCCUUCUCUUCCGCGAACUGAUCCUUGAGCAAUCAAUCACUUUUUUUCUCUCUCCCCUCGCACCCGAACUAAUAAUUUCCCAACUUGACUCGUGUGUGUACUGUGUCUUGUGUUGUAGAAAUGAUUUAGUUCACAUUUUCACAGAUAAGAAAACGUGAUAACUAGGGCGGACUGGUCGCACAAAACGAUGACCCAGAUGGCGCCCGAUUGUUUCAAGUUGAGAGAGAAGGGAAAUUUGGUUUUAAAAGAAAAAAACCGACUUGACCGUAUAGAAAAUCAAGAAAUAAAAAGGAAACAACAAACAAGUGAUCCAAUCGAUGUCAGACGAGAGAAAACAUCAUCUCUCUCCGUGUUGCCCAUAGGGGGCUUAGUCGAGAAAAUUCCAAAAUGUUGACAGUUUGUUUAUAUAUACAGUAUUUGAUUUGAUUAUCUCUAAAAAGGAUCUUGGUGGGAAAUUUCUGGUUAUUGAAAGACUGGAGUUUCCCUGGGGUUUGUACCAAGAAUUUUAGAAAAAAGAAAACAAAAAUUUGAUCUUUUUUUUCUUCGUAGAGAAAAAAGGGGGUUGCGAGACGGAAAGGGCAAUGCACUUUUCUACAGGGGUGUCUGGCUCUAAAUUUAGCGAAAGAAGGGGGGGUCUCCAAAAGCGAUUCCAUAAUUCUUUCAUCGCUUUUUGGAAAGAAAAUAAAAAGGUUCUUCAGCAGUUGGCGGCGGCCGGGCUGGGCUGCUACGUUUGCUGUCGUCCCUAUUUUCUUGUGUGUGUGUGUGUUUAAUGGAGCGGCGCGGCAAACCUAAUUGAUCCCCGGGACUGCUGGACACACACAGUUUCUCUUUUUUUCUUUUCCUUCGUGAGUAGAUUACGACUGUCUCGAUAUUUUCGCAACGAGCCAGAAAGUUUUUUCCCCCCUCACCUCGAAUGGAGACUCUACGGCGGCGACGGGCUCCACUCCAAGACGCCGGCGCCUGUUGCUGGCCUGGCUGCUAUUGGGCAGCAUUUGCAUACAUCCGUCACGAACUGGCCGACCCCAAUAUUCCCCGCCAUGGCCGUAUGGCAUCAAUCGAUCCAUGGCAAGUAUAUUUUAAGAACCUCUUUCUCUCUUUCUUUUCUUUCUCUUGUGCCGAGUUCGUUGGGUUUGCGCAAUAUCCUAGUCGGGAAAUAUCUGUUUGCCCAUUACCAUAAAGUCUAUUACAAUAUUCCAAAUAGAAAUCGACGGUAUAACAAGUGUGGGGGGGAUAACAAAAGAAGAGAUGAUACAUUCAGACGUCUCGCAGUCUCUUACCUGCCAGCAGGACGAGGAUGGCCAGCGUUGAGCCGUACCUUUUCAUGUUGUCGGUUUGGCAAUCAGUUGGCAAUUGUUGGAUGUUGUUGUUGUUGUUUGUUGUGUCGUGUGGCUCCUGACGCCGACUGGUUGUUUGCGUGGA
rnacentral:lncRNA from 1 species